rnacentral:lncRNA from 1 species
CCAUACUGUUCUCAUGAUAGUCAAUAAGUCUCCCAAGACAUGAUGGUUUUGUAAAGACUCGUUCCCCUGCACACGUGCUCUUGCCUGCCAUCAUGUAAGACGUGCCUUUGCUCCUCCUUUGCCUUCUGCCAUGAUUGUGAGGCCUCCCCAGCCAUGUGGAACUGUGAGUCCAUUAAACCUCCUUCCUUUAUAAAUUACCCAGUCUUGAGUAUGUCCUUACAGCAGUGUGAUAUCAGACUGAUACACAGGGCCUUGGAAGAUGUGAAUGUUGGGAUCUCCAGAUGGGAAGAUAAUCCUGGAUUAUCCUGAUGCAGAAGCUGAGUGAAACGUGUCGAUUUGGAGUCUGUUCCAGAAAAUACCGAUCAACCAUUUGACCUGUUAUAUUUCAGGAGGCUCUUGAAAUAAAACUGGCUCCUGCAUACUUUCCUGCGAAAUGCCCUCACCAGCAGCCGCCAGCCAUGGCACAUUUGCUUCCUUCCUGUGCAUCUCUACAUCGAACACCCACUAGUCAAGACAAACCCGAGAGGGGAAUUAUAACUCCCAGGGAAAGAGGGGGGCUCUAGAGACACCAAGAGUAGGGCUGCAAUUUCAAACUGGGUCAUGAGGCCUCAGGGACCUGUAGGUGGUGAAGCUCAGCUCUGCCGACAGACAUUCCAGCCCUGCAGGGGUGUGGGAAAACUGGUUUCUGUUUCUGUUUUAAAACCUUGUUAUAUUCGAACUAUCUCUCAAAAGCAAUAGUCCGCUGAGCUUAAGUCUUAUACUGAAAAAUGAUUUGAAACCUUUAAAAUAAGCAAGCAUGUUAAAGUUAUAGGAUGGUACUUGGCACCUAAUGAGUCAUCUUUUGCAUGUUACGCAAAUUUCAAGACAACACCAGAUGUUGGGGGAGGAUCACUCUCCAGAGAGGGGAAAAUUACUGUUUUCUGAUUUUUAAAAAAUGAUAAAAACUAUCGCUUACAGACAAAAACUAUUAAAUUUGGGGGUAAUUAUUGCUUUCUCUCUCUGUGUGUGUGUGUAUGUGUGUGUGUGUGUAUAUAUAUAAUAUAUAUUUUUCUUUCUGUGUGUUCAUGUCUCAUAUAUAUCUUAUUAAUUACUGUAGACUCAGCACUUAGUCUACUUUGUGACAUAUAUGAGAUACUAAAAUAUUUGGAGAAAUAAUAAGUGAAUGAAUGUGCCACUACAGACACAGAAACAGUACUAGCCCAGGGAGAGGAACUGGUAGGAACAAAUGGAGAGCUUCAUUCAGUCACCUGGUAAUAGGAUGUUUAUACUAGAAUAUUCUAGAAACAUGUCCCCACUGUAUCUGAAGCCUAUGAACCCAAAACGAGUGUCGUGUGGGAAGACUUUGACUACUGUCAUAUAAAUGCCUGAGAGAAAUUUCGAAUAGAUGUCACAAACUGUCGAUUCAGCCAUUGUCAUGAUUUUUAAAUAAAUAUUGGUAGCCUCCUACGGUUAGAGAUAGAAGAGGAUAUACAUCCUCUCCCUAACAAUCUGGCAAUCAGUCACUGUGUUACAAUAGAAACAAGCCUUAGUCCAAAUUCCUCUAA